UAAUACGGAGGGUGCAAGCGUUAAUCGGAAUUACUGGGCGUAAAGCGCACGCAGGCGGUUUGUUAAGUCAGAUGUGAAAUCCCCGGGCUCAACCUGGGAACUGCAUUUGAAACUGGCAAGCUAGAGUCUCGUAGAGGGGGUAGAAUUCCAGGUGUAGCGGUGAAAUGCGUAGAGAUCUGGAGGAAUACCGGUGGCGAAGGCGGCCCCCUGGACGAAGACUGACGCUCAGGUGCGAAAGCGUGGGGAGCAAACAGGAUUAGAUACCCUGGUAGUCCACGCUGUAAACGAUGUCGAUUUGGAGGUUGUGCCCUUGAGGCGUGGCUUCCGGAGCUAACGCGUUAAAUCGACCGCCUGGGGAGUACGGUCGCAAGAUUA
rnacentral:rRNA from 1 species